rnacentral:rRNA from 1 species
AUGCCACCACGGCCACGCGCUCCAAGCUCCGGCGCCAACUCCAUCGCCGCUGAGAUGGGCGCCCAGGGAAUCCCUGCCCGGGGCGGCUCCCCUCCCCCUCCCGUCACCACCAAGCACGACGCGUCUGGCGCUGGCGAAGCCCAAAGCUGCCCCGUCCGCUCCCCGGCCUCGGAAGGAAGCGACCGCUCGGUGGAGGAGAAGAACUCCCCAGGGGAAAUCCCUUGGUACGAUAAAUUGGAGGACAUAGAUGAGGAGUACCGCAAGUACUUGAGUUGCGUGCGCUUUGUGAAUGGCCACCAAAUAGUGGUCGUGCCGGAAGGCGGGCUGGAAGCGGUGCCGGCUCGAGUUGUUGACAAGUCUAAUGGGGCAGGGAAGAAGGAUGGGGAGGAAGCGGCUGCUCAUGCUGCUUCGGGGGAGAAGGGCAGCAGCGUUGGGAGCAAGGAGAAGCGGAAGGGGAAGGGAAAGGUGGCGGCGAUCACCACGAGUGGGAAAUCUCGUGUGCGCGAUUACGACCCUGCGCAUCGGCAAAAAGUGUUGGUGAUGGACCGCAAGGUUACACGAUACGGGCAGGACGAGGUGUCGGUUCCAGUUGGUGACAAGUCUGAUGGGGCAGGGAAGAAGGAUGGGGUGGAAGCGGCUUCCCGUGCUACUUCACGGAAGAACGGCUGCGGCGUUGGGAAGAAGGAGAAGGGAAAGAGGAAGGUGGCGGCGAUCACCAUGGGCGGGCCUGCGCUGAAGUCUCGUGUGGCCGAUUCCAGUGCGCAUCCGCAAAAGGGUCAGAAGGAGAAGAAUAAGGAACGGAAAAAUGAUGCUAAGAAGAUGAAGGUGGCGGCGGAACCGCAUCCGGAAACACUGAACACUGCUUCGGGGAAGGAGAAGGUGGUGGUGAUCACCACGGGUGAGCCUGCGCUGAAAUCUCGUGUGCACGAUUCCACUACGCAUCCGCAAAAGAUUCAGAAGGAGAAGAAUGGACGCAAAAAUGGUUCUAAGAAGAUGAAGGUGGUGGAGGAAGAAGGGAAGCCGUCGAAGGAGCUGCCUGUGGAAACACUGAAUAUUGUGAAGAGGAAAAGGAAAUCAAAUAAUGUACAAAAUGCCGAGUCUCGUACUGCUUCGACUGGCAACAACAGAAAGCCACAACUUCGGAGAUCUGCUCGACUUAUGCUCAGUCCGCCUGAAAAUGAUCAUAAGUAG